rnacentral:rRNA from 1 species
GACGAACGCUGGCGGCGUGCUUAACACAUGCGAGUCGAACGGAAAGGCCCUGCUUUUGUGGGGUGCUCGAUUGGCGAACGGGUGAGUAACACGUGAGUAACCUGCCCUUGACUUUGGGAUAACUUCAGGAAACUGGGGCUAAUACCGGAUAGGAGCUCCUGCAGCAUGGUGUGGGUUGGUAAGUUUCGGCGGUUGGGGCUGGACUCGCGGCUUAUCAGCUUGUUGGUGGGGUAGUGGCUUACCAAGGCUUUGACGGGUAGCCGGCCUGAGAGGGGGGCCGGCCACCUGGGGACUGAGGGACGGCGCAGACGGCUAUGGGAGGCAGCGGUGGGGAGUAUGGCACAAUGGGCGCAAGUGAGAGGCAGCAGCGCUGGGAGCGGGAUGACGGGUUACGGGUGGAAAACCACUGUGGACGGUGACGAAGCGUGAGUGACGGUAACGGGUAAAGAAGCAACGGCUAACUACGUG